rnacentral:snRNA from 1 species
GUCGAAAUCCGCUAAGGAG